rnacentral:rRNA from 1 species
UACGUAGGUGGCAAGCGUUGUCCGGAUUUACUGGGCGUAAAUAGCGCGCAGGCGGCUGAUUAAGUCCGAUGUGAAAUCUUCCGGCUCAACCGGGAAACUGCAUCGGAAACUGAUCGGCUUGAAGGUGGGAGAGGGUAGUGGAAUUCCCGGUGUAGUGGUGAAAUGCGUAGAUAUCGGGAGGAACACCAGUGGCGAAGGCGACUACCUGGCCCAUUCUUGACGCUGAGGCGCGAAAGCUAGGGGAGCGAACGGG